rnacentral:rRNA from 1 species
CCUUGGCCUUGACAGUACUAGAACUUUCCAGAGAUUGGAUUGGUGCCUUUCGGGAACUUAGAUACAGGUGCUGCAUGGCUGUCGUCAGCUCGUGUCGUGAGAUGUUGGGUUAAGUCCGCAACGAGCGCAACCUUUUCCUUAUUUGCCAGCGGGUAAUGCCGGGAACUUUAAGGAUACUGCCAGUGACAAACUGAAGGAAGGCGGGGACGACGUCAAGUCAUCAUGGCCCUUACGGCCAGGGCUACACACGUGCUACAAUGGUCGGUACAAAGGGUUGCUACCUCGCGAGAGGAUGCUAAUCUCAAAAAGCCGAUCGUAGUCCGGAUCGCAGUCUGCAACUCGACUGCGUGAAGUCGGAAUCGCUAGUAAUCGCGGAUCAGAAUGCCGCGGUGAAUACGUUCCCGGGCCUUGUACACACCGCCCGUCACACCAUGGGAGUUUGUUGCACCAGAAGUAGGUAGUCUAACCGCAAGGAGGACGCUUACCACGGUGUGGCCGAUGACUGGGGUGAAGUCGUAACAAGGUAGGCGUAGAUGA